rnacentral:snRNA from 1 species
GUGCUCACUUUGGCAACACAUAUACUAAAAUUGGAAUGAUCUAGAGAAGAUAAGUAUGGCCCCUGGGUAAGGAUGACAUCCAAGUUUGUGAAAUGAUCCCUUAAACA